GUACUUACGAUCUUGUAUCCACUGACUGUCCUUUUAGAUUAACCCAAUAAAUUUCAUUCACUCCGCAUACUCAAUCCUAUAGACACCCUUUUAAUCCUUCAAUCACAGACGUAACUCGAUUUCACAAAACAGUCAAGAGUAUUCAAAUCCACUUCAUUUAAAAAUCCCGAUUCACCAUUACAACACUGACUUCAGCAGCGAUUGCCUCAGUCUUCCCCAAAACUCUACGAAGAAGAAAAAUCCAA
rnacentral:lncRNA from 1 species